rnacentral:misc_RNA from 1 species
AGUUACAUUUUGCAAGAACUUGUUUCAUAAGUGUUGGCCCUUAAACCUCUACAAGGAUGAGGUGGGCAACCAGUAACAAGUGCACAGUUCACAGCUUAGGCACACGUCUUUCUAACGAAAGCUUCAUAAAUCCUCGACUUUAACAUGCUGUUUCUACAAUAAAGCCACCACCACUAAACUCUGCAUUUAAAGAUCUAUAAGAAUCAGACAUUGAUGUGCCAAAAAGUCACAGGAAAUGCCAUCUUUGUUGCUAUAAAGUAAUAGGUAUCUACACCUCCACCCUAGAUUUGUUAGCCACCAACCAUUCCAUUUCUAGAAUCCAUGCAACUCAAAUCUCUCUUCCUACCAUGUUUUUCACAUUCUCUAUUUCUUUCUUCCCCUUCCCUUGGCUCUACAUCUAUGCUUUUUUUCCUUUUUUUUUCUCUUGUUUUUCUUA